rnacentral:lncRNA from 1 species
GAGAAUUUGGAGAUUGAGAGGCUAAACUAGAACUAAACUAGAACUACUCCUAAUUGUGCUGGAAAUAAAUGUGAAAUAGAAGUGGUAUUGGUUCGAUUGUUGGGGUUCAAUCGGCCGUAGCCCUUCAUCUAUAUAAAGGGGAGGUCUGGAUCCGCUUCCAACUGAUUUCCGAGUUAAUCCCGCGGUUUUAGGUAACAAAUCCCGCGAGAAACUAGGAACCCUAACUGACUCUGCGCACGCGCGGACCGUCCGCGCCAUCACCGCGGACUAUCCGUGCUGCUCUUUUUGGUCUCCAGCAGAUGUAGAUAUUGGAGCACCAAAUUGAGAAUUAGAAUCAUCUUUCCUGAAUUCUGUUGUUUGGCUGCAAAUGGAAUUAAUGAUUGAAAUCAGAGAUCUAAUUUCCUAGAAUUAAACUAUAACUAGAAACUCACUCUCUCAAUUCAGAAUAUCACACCUCUGUAUUGGGUGGAAUCAGACCGAAUAAUUACAAACUUCAAUUCAGUGGCAUUCAAACAAUAAAAUUGCAAUUUUAUAUCAUUGCAGUAACAUGUCUGAUUUGGUAUUUAGCCCAAUUCAAUUCUAUAUCCUCUAAUAUCAACGUACAAACGGAGAAUUAAGAAAAUGAGGUUUUUCCCAAACUAGCCAUUAAUAUUAAAAAAAAGAAUCAUAUUUUAAAGACCAACGAUCACGCUGCACAAUGCCUGAGAUGAGGGGACAAUAUAUAAUCGAACCUGUAAUCCUUCAGACCGCUGCAGAGCAUCCACGACAGGCUCUGUGGAUGAAAGCAAGUGAUCACUGCCACAUCCGGCCAUCAGCAGCUCUUUUCCAGGAGCACCAUCACAGCCCAGAACGACACCUGCAAAUUCCAAAGCCAGCUCCGCUGAUAAGAUAUGAGAAAACAGCACCAUCAAUACGCAGGCUAAAACGACGAGAAAACAAACCGGCUUUCGCUUCGGAUCAAAGUGUAUAAUCAGUAAGUCAAGUGAAUAGAUCGAAAAUGAGAAGAAAACGCAUUGGCCAAGACGCAUAUUGCCGCAACAAAAAUGCUGGUUCGGUUUCCACCGAUCAGAAUGCAGACAUAGGAAUAAAGAAAAGUAUGUGUGCACGUAUGAGAACCAGAACCACUCAGGAUCCAGGGCACUCGUCCCUCCUGGAAGGAGCUAUAUGAGAGGAGAACGACCGAAUAAGAAUAGAGGGGAAGGGGGAGCGAGAGGCGGGAGCCGUACGAGAGAAGGCGUCCUUCCUCCUGAAGAGCACCGACGGCAAGGCCACCCCACUCCUGCGCUCCCCGCCCGAUCCCGCCGAGCCGCCGGCCCGCACGACCACCCCGAGCCUCGCGCCGGACACGGCGAGCGACGCCAUCCCGCGCGCACCAGCUAGCCACAAAUCAACCACCCGCACGUACGCUCCUUCACCCGCGCGGCCCACGGGAAGCGAGUGCGCGAGGGGCAGCCGAAGCCGAGGAGGAGCGGCGCCAGAUAUUGUGUAUUAGCCCGCGCGCGGGAGCGAGCAGGGCUGGCUGGGAGGGAAGGAAUGGGGGGCAGCAACGUGUGCGGCGGAGGUGGAAGAAGCAGUGUGGCCAG